rnacentral:misc_RNA from 1 species
GAAAUGCGAUAAGUAGUGUGAAUUGCAGAAUUCAGUGAAUCAUCGAAUCUUUGAACGCACAUUGCGCCCUUUGGUAUUCCUUAGGGCAUGCCUGUUCGAGCGUCAUUUGUAACAUCAAGCUCAGCUUGGUGUUGGGUGUCUGUCCCCGCCCCGCGCGGGGACUCGCCUCAAAAACAUUGGCGGCCGGUACGUUGGCUUCGAGCGCAGCAGAAACGCGAACUCGAGGCCCGACGGAUCGGCGACCAGAAGUCACUUCUUCCACAGCUUGACCUCGGAUCAGGUAGGGAUACCCGCUGAACUUAAGC